GUUUUAAUAGUUUAAAAAAAACACUGGUCUUGUAAACCAAAAAUAAGAAAAAUACUUUUAAAACU
rnacentral:tRNA from 1 species